AAGAUACGUAUUUGCCAAAGAGGAGCUGGAAGUGGUUACUAUGUGGUUCCUGUGUGUCAAGGCCAUAUCAGCAAAAGAAAGAGAAAUCAGGAUUUCUUGCACGGCUUCACCGCUUGUUCAGACGUCAAUAAAUGUAUUGCUAGUGUUAUUAUUAUUAUUAAAAGAUUCAAUUAUUUUUCAAAUAA